AUAUAGCCUUUUCAUGUGGGUCUUGCCUUGCAUUUAAACACUCCCUCCUAUCAUCAUCUUUCCAUCUCUCCUUGACAUCACUUCUUUUUGUGUGUGUGUGUGUGUUUUUUUUUUUUUUUCAAUCUCUCUCACAAAAACUGAAGAAGAUAAACUCUCCCCUAAGCCUAAGCCUAAGCCUAAAGGCCCCAUGUCUUGUUACCGCCUCUUCAUCUUUAUACUUCUCUUCCUCCUCUUGCUCCAACUGGCCCGGGGCUCAACUCCGCCACCACUACCACCAUCUCCAAGAAACCACCCUCCUUGUGAUUCUUUCUCUCGAUCAGAGCAACGUUCUUUGUGCUUUCAGCUUCAAAGAAUCCACAAUUUCCACCCUUUCUUGCCAUCAUUGGCGCCACCGCCGCCGCCCUCCGAAGCCAACGAAAUUGAUCCAAGAUACGGUGUGGAGAAAAGACUUGUUCCCUCGGGGCCCAACCCUCUGCACAACUGAAUAACAUCAUCAUGUCUCCCAAUCACGUACCCACCAUUUUGUCCAUAUUCCACACAAGACAUGCAUCUUUUUCUAUCUAUCUACCUGGUAACCCUAUAUUGUCUCCAAGAUUUUGCUUUCCCCGCAAUUCUUGUUACACCUUUCGUGCAUGGGAUUUACGCACAGCAGCUGCCCUUUUCCACUUUUUCUUUAAUUCCCUUUAUUGGACAAAUGAUGGGAAAUGAAACCUUCAGCAGCAGUACCUCAUAGUAGCUAGUAAUUAAAACGGAGCUUAAACAAGCAAGGAAAUGGCGUACCGUCGCUAUUCCUUUAAUGGAGUUGGAAGCUCAAGAGAAACGCAUGAGUUUCAUUAAUGGAGUUUGAAUCUGUGAAGGGAGGAGAUAUAAUACCCUUUUGUGGAGCCAACGUAGCUUUUGCAAUAAAUAUGUUGAUGUAAUCAUGUGUUGUUAACAUCUAUAUUAUAUAUAUGAUUUGUAUUUUUCUUUGAUACACUAGCCUUUAUUAUACUACUUAACCAUUUUCUCAA